CCUACGGGUGGCAGCAGUGAGGAAUAUUGGUCAAUGGGCGCGAGCCUGAACCAGCCAAGUAGCGUGAAGGAUGACUGCCCUACGGGUUGUAAACUUCUUUUAUAAAGGAAUAAAGUGAGGCACGUGUGCCUUUUUGUAUGGACGUUAUGAAUAAGGAACGGCUAACUCCGUGCCAGCAGCCGCGGUAAUACGGAGGAUCCGAGCGUUAUCCGGAUUUAUUGGGUUUAAAGGGAGCGUAGAUGGGUUGUUAAGUCAGUUGUGAAAGUUUGCGGCUCAACCGUAAAAUUGCAAUUGAUACUGGCAGUCUUGCGUACAGUUGCGGUCGGCGGACUUCGUGGUGUAGCGGUGACAUGCUUAGAUCUCAC
rnacentral:rRNA from 1 species